GCUGCAUUUACCAAUUUAAUCUAAACACUCGUUAUCACUGCUGUAUUUAACCAAUUUAAUCUAAACAUUAACCAAAACAAUUACAUUCCUAUUUACCACCCUUCUAUUUAAACAUGUAUAGAUAACCCAAAAUGCCUACUUUCUCUUAUCAUUCUUAUAAUUUUUUUGUUUUUUUGAACUGCAACCACUCAUGCACUUUACACAGACACAAAUCAAGCACCUACUGGACAAU